ACCUGGUAGUCCACGCUGUAAACGAUGUCGAUUUGGAGUUUGGGGGCAUGACCCUUGGGCUCCGGAGCUAACGCGUUAAAUCGACCGCUGGGGAGUACGGCCGCAAGGUUAAAACUCAAAUGAAUUGACGGGGGCCCGCACAAGCGGUGGAGCAUGUGGUUUAAUUCGAUGCAACGCGAAGAACCUUACCUGGUCUUGACAUCCAUAGAAUCUUUCAGAGAUGAGAGAGUGCCUUCGGGAGCUAUGAGACAGGUGCUGCAUGGCUGUCGUCAGCUCGUGUUGUGAAAUGUUGGGUUAAGUCCCGCAACGAGCGCAACCCCUAUCCUUUGUUGCCAGCACGUAAUGGUGGGAACUCAAAGGAGACUGCCGUUGAUAAAGCGGAGGAAGGUGGGGACGACGUCAAGUCAUCAUGGCCCUUACGACCAGGGCUACACACGUGCUACAAUGGCGUAUACAAAGGGAUGCGAAGGUGCGAACUGGAGCGGACCUCACAAAGUACGUCUAAGUCCGGAUUGGAGUCUGCAACUCGACUCCAUGAAGUCGGAAUCGCUAGUAAUCGUGAAUCAGAAUGUCACGGUGAAUACGUUCCCGGGCCUUGUACACACCGCCCGUCACACCAUGGGAGUGGGUUGCACCAGAAGUAGAUAGCUUAACCUUCGGGAGGGCGUUUACCACGGUGUGGUUCAUGACUGGGGUGAAGUCGUAACAAGGUAACCA
rnacentral:rRNA from 1 species